rnacentral:lncRNA from 1 species
AUGCUUAUGGGAAGAGUUUUCUAUGAGUAUGCGGUGGUUGCCAUGACCCUCGAUUCACAAUCUCGGGUCGGGGGUGUGACAAUUAAUAUGGUAUCAGAGCAUAAGUGGAUGAAUUAUGAAAUAUAGAAUCAGAUAUAGAAUGGGUAUAAGUAGAUAGACACUAGGGACAUUAUAGUGUAGAUCUUUGAUGAUUGUAGUGGGA